UCCCCUCUUUCCCAUUUACUUCAGUACCUAAGGUUAAGUGUUUUGAUCCGUUUGAAUAUCGAAUAGUUUCCACGUUUUAUUUAAAGCCAUCCUUUCUUUUUCAUAUUAUUGUUUGCUAAAAAAUUUUUGAUAGGAUAAAAGUUGUUUGCGUGCUGUAUGCGUGGUGACAUGCCUAAUAAUGUGCUUACUCUACGGGGACAUGUUGUUAUUUCUUCUCUCAAAGAUAGGUCUAGUAAAUUUGGGAGAAAUUCUAUUUUAGUUGCUUCCUGAUUCUUCGCAACUCUUUGUUGUUAUCUUGAGUUUUAGUAAUAGCCAUCUAUACCUAAAAGGGCUAGAGAACAAUAAUCAGCAAAAGAAAAAAAUAUAUAAUAAUAAUAAUGAUUAACUCCUAAGCACAUCAAAUUGGUCUGAUUGCUAUUUUCCAUCACAAUGCAUGUGUGAAGUUGAUUCAUUUCUCUUGAAAUUCUAUAUUUUGAACCAUCAUGGGUUCCUUUUCAUCGAUUGAUCCAUCAUACUACUUACUUGUGUGGCGUUUGGUAUUCUGGAUGCGUUUUGAUUUCCUUUAUAUUUUUCCUUGCAUGUGAAUUCGUUUUGGAGUCCAAAUGGAUUCUUUCCCAUUGCAUCUCUUAAUGGGCCAUUCAGGCCCUCCAUUCCUAUCAAGUCAAGCCCUGAAAAAAAGCCUAAAAUGAAUUGCAUGGCGUACGGAUAUGAGAAGUCGAAAGAAGAGAGAAGAUGGAUUAAAGCCCCAUUUUUAAAGUGGCGAAGAGACUCAAAAGUCUCAUUUUUUAGUUUAUUUAUUUACUUAUCGAUUUUAUUCAUUUAUUUCUUUAUUUAUUCAUUUGGGCCACGAAGCCAAAGUUGUGCUUAAUAUAGGUAGAGCGAUACUAGGACAGGUGAAAUGGGUCGAAAUCCCAAUUAGACUAGGACAGGUCUUAUUGAUUUGGGCCCAGUGGCCUAAAUCCCUUACUUUCUCCCCUUCCCCUUUUUCUUUACAUUUCUUUACCUUAUGUGUUUUGGUGAACCUAGUUAAAUCCUUAGUCAAGUCGAUAAAAAGUUAGUUCUGCAUAAACACCAAAAUCUUUUUCAAAAAUUGCCUUCUUUUCAAAACUAAACCUUUUUCCAAAGUUAGUCAAAGGCGAUUUCCAAACAGUCCGGAUAACCGCAAGUUAGCGGACGUUUUAGGUGCCUAACACCUUCCUAAAACAUUAAUAAGAACCGCUUACUCAGAAUCUCUUAACUUAAACAAUUUUUCUUUUUUGGAUCGUUUGAAGUAACUCUAUAAAGGUUUCUAAAUUCCUUUUCAAAAUUAAGUGGCGACUCUCUUUCAAAAGUCAAAAUUUCCGCAAAACGCGCUUCAGCCAUAAUUCUCUGCCUCAAAUCAUUAACAUUCGGAACACAGUCUACCUUGCAAUCUCAACAUAUCAUCUACCCCUUGGGAGAAAACCUCUACCUUAUGGUCCUUAACUGAAUCCUUCAGUCUGACCAAAUAGGAUCCCUAUCCUGCUUCUUCUUUACCUCCAAGACCAAAGAGGACUCGAAACUGCUCUAAACUAACAUACUCCCUUCUGCGGAAUCAAGAAAUCUAACACCCAACCUAGACAAACGAUGCACAUCACGAGCUAAUUCUUUCUUAUCAUUCUCUAUAUGAGCUAUACUAACCAUAGACAACCUGCUAAGAGCAUCUUCCACAAUAUUGGCCUUGCUAGGGUGAUAUAUCACACUCAUAUCGUAGUCUUUUAGAAAAUCUACCCAUCUUCUUUGUCUAAGGUUUGUCUCCAGAUUUUCAAAGCAAAAACUACAGCUGCUAAUUCAAGAUCAUGGGUUGGGUAAUUCUUCUCAUGAGGCUUCAACUGUCUAAGGCAUAAGCUAUAACUUUACCCUUAUGCAUCAACACACAACCCAAACCAACUCUAGAAGCAUCCCAGUACACCACAAGACCAUCAGUACCAUCGGGUAAAGCUAACACUGGGGCUGAAGUGAGUCGAGUCUUCAACUCUUGAAAUCUCUUCUCACAGGCAUCUGUCCACUGGAACUUAACUUUCUUUUCGGUCAAUCGGGUCAUGGGGGACCCGAUUGAAGAGAAGCCCUCAACAAAAUGACAGUAGUAACCAGCUAAACCCAAGAAACUCCUAAUAUCAGACGGGGAGGUAAGUCUAGGCCAAUUCUUCAUAGCUUCUGUCUUUUGAGGAUCAACUCUUAUACCUUCGGAAGAAACAAUAUGACUCAGAAAAGCAACUGACCUUAACCAAAAUUCACACUUGCUAAAUUUAGUAAAUAAUUAAUGAGCUCUAAGGGUUUCCAACAUGAUUCGAAGAUGAUCUUCAUGGCCAUCCUUACUUAGAGAAUAUAAAAGAAUAUCCUCUAUGAACACAAUAACAAACAAAUACAGAUACCACUUGAAAACUCAGUUCAUAAGAUCCAUGAAAGCUGCUGGAGCAUUGGUUAACCCAAAGGACAUGACAAGAAACUCAAAAUGACCAUAGCGGGUUCGAAAAACUGUCUUUGGAAUAUCACACUCUCUCACUUUAAGAUAAUGAUAGCCGGAUCUAAGGUCUAUCUUUGAGAAAUAACUUGCACCCAGUAGCUGAUCAAAUAAAUCAUUGAUUCUAGGAAGAGGGUACUUGUUCUUAAUAGUCACCUUGUUGAGUUGAUGGUAGUUAAUGCACAUACGCAAUGUACCAACUUUCUUCCACACAAAUAGAACAGGUGCACCCCACGGGGAAACACUGGGUCUGAUAAAGCCUUUUUCUAAGAGUUCUUUGAGUUUCUCCUUCAACUCUUUAAGUUCUGCAGGAGCUAUACGGUAUGGAGGGAUGGAGAUAGGCUGAGUUUCAGGAAAAAGAUCAAUCCUGAAUUCUAUUUCUCUAUCAGGUGGGACCCCUGGAAGGUCUUCAGGGAAAAUAUCAGGAAACUCUUUAACAAUGCUAAUUGACUGAAUAGUCGGAGUCUCAGACUUGAGUUCUUUAACUCGAACUAGAUGAUAGAUGAAACCCUUGAAAAUCAACUUCCUAGCUUUGAGGUAGGAUAUGAAAUGGCUCUUUGGAGUUAUAGAACUCUCGAACCACUCAAACACGGGUUCGUUAUGAAACUAAAACUUGACCACUUGGGUAUGACAAUCUAUAGACGCAUAGCACGAGUGAAGCCAAUCUAUACCCAGAAUGAUGUCAAAAUUAACAAUAUCUAGCUCAAUCACAUCAGCACAUAUGACCCGAUGAAGGACAACACCAGGACACUUCUUAUACACUCGCUUAGAAAUAACAAACUCUCCUACCAGGGUAGAAACAAGAAUAGGCUCAGGAAUCCAUUCAAGUUCCAUCUCAAAACUUAUAGCAACCAGAGGUGUUACAUAAGAGAAACUUGAACUGGGGUCCAUUAAUACAUACACAUCAAAAUGAAAGACAUGGAGCAUACCAGUGACAAUAUCUGUAGAAUCCUCCUGCUCCUGGCGAGGUGGUAUAGAACAGAAGAAAUUCUGGAAUGAACCGCCAACAGUACUAGAAGAGACGCCCUGCGGAGGAACUGGGCAGACUACGAGAACGAGGGCACUGGUAGCUUGACUCUGGGGAUGAGCAUCUUGACUCCCCUAUCUGGCAUACGGAUAAUCUCUAAGUCGGUGGCCCAACUUGACAAAACCAAAGCAACCUCUCUGAUCAACAAAACACUUGCCAAAAUAAUCUCUACCAUACUUGGCAUAUAAAGGAAGACAAGGUCUGUUACUUACACUUUCCUGAGAAUUGGACGGGAUAGGCCUGUUCCCCUGCUCCUGCCUACUUCUAGGUACGGAAGCACUAACUAAGGAAGGCGCGGGCAUAAAUUGACAUCUCUGGAAUUAAGGGAAGUCCCCUCCAUAGAAUCUGGAAUGACCAAAUCCCUGCUGCUCUGAUCUAGCUAUUUUAUUCCCUCUUACUCUCUCUCUCUCUCUUUUUCACCUUAUCAGCUUUAAUCUGUUGGGCAUGCAUCAUUAAUCAAUAAAGGUCCAUCUCCUUAUUAAGCAUAGCAGAUCUACCCUCUUUCACAAUAUAACUCGACACACCGGUCACGAACUUACUCAUAAUGGUCCUGGAGUCAGCCAUUAUACUAGGUGCAUAUUUGGACAACUGAUUAAAUCUAAGGGUCAUGGAGCCUUGUCACAAAUUCAUAAAUUCCUCUAUAAUUGUUUCCCUCAUCUCAAGAGGAAAGAAUCUAUCCAAGAACGCAUCCUGGAAUAACUACCAAGUCAUGGGAGCGGGAUCCUCCACUCUACUUUCCCUCCACACUUCCACCCAAUCAUAUGCAACAUCUUUCGCUCGAUAGGCAGCCAAUUCAACACUCUCCUCCUCAGUCACGUGCAUAAUCUGGGUGAUCUUUCUCACUUCAUCCAAGUACAUUUGUGGGUCUUCACCUACCUUCGACCCAUAGAACUCAGGUGGAUUUAUCUUUAUAAAGUCACAAACCCGAGCUGCAGCAAAAUUAUUCUCUUGCAGAAGUGGAACAGUAGCCUGGUUGUUAGCUUGAGUAUUGCGGUAACUGCCUGGGCUACCACCUGAAAAUCUGCCCAGAAUUAUGUAUGUGACACAUGCUCGUUCAGGGGAUCAAUGGGUUAAGGUUGCUUAUUGUUUCUAUGAGCUCAACGAGGAGACAUUUUCUGUCAUAAGAGAGGCCGAAUUAAUAGCAGAGAGAAGUAGUCGUAGGCACGAUAGACUUUUGAAUGAAAAAUAUGACUUUCCCUAAAACUUCUUGUAGCCUCUAGCUCAUAGAUAUGGCGCGCUACACACCGAUGAUCAAGAAUCUACAUAACAUGGCUUGCCUGUCAUCACUUCUAGAACUCACUUUGACAAUUGUCAUUCUAAUAUAAGAGAGAAUGACAUAUCAUAAACAUACUGGAAUAAGAUACGAAACUAGCCUGUACAAUCCAAAAUACUGAAAUUCUGUACAUACCAACCCUUUAGCCUGACAAAGCCUAUAUACAUCAAAAUCAAGGAGACAAUGUGACAAACCCCCAAAUGACUCAAAAAGUAAUGAAAGCUAUAACAAUAAAAUGGUAUCACAAAAUUAUAAACACGGUCCUCGAACCAUGGGGACUCACCACUGAGAAGAUGAAAAGAGGCACCCGAAUAUAUAUCACUAACGCGGCUGAGUACCUGAACCUACAUUACGAGAAAAUGUAGCCCAUAGGAAAAUAUGUGGGUCAGCACUUUAAAAUGUAUUGAGUAUGUCAGGGUGCAUGCAACAAUGUAAAUAUCGUCAUCAAUUUCAUGAAAGUAUGCAUAUGUACAAUGAUGGCUCAUUUGGCUUGCGGUANNNNNNNNNNNNNNNNNNNNNNNNNNNNNNNNNNNNNNNNNNNNNNNNNNNNNNNNNNNNNNNNNNNNNNNNNNNNNNNNNNNNNNNNNNNNNNNNNNNNNNNNNNNNNNNNNNNNNNNNNNNNNNNNNNNNNNNNNNNNNNNNNNNNNNNNNNNNNNNNNNNNNNNNNNNNNNNNNNNNNNNNNNNNNNNNNNNNNNNNNNNNNNNNNNNNNNNNNNNNNNNNNNNNNNNNNNNNNNNNNNNNNNNNNNNNNNNNNNNNNNNNNNNNNNNNNNNNNNNNNNNNNNNNNNNNNNNNNNNNNNNNNNNNNNNNNNNNNNNNNNNNNNNNNNNNNNNNNNNNNNNNNNNNNNNNNNNNNNNNNNNNNNNNNNNNNNNNNNNNNNNNNNNNNNNNNNNNNNNNNNNNNNNNNNNNNNNNNNNNNNNNNNNNGUCGUACUCUUGCCAGGGAGUAUAACCUAAAUUUAGUGAUCACAAUCUCAUACACAGCCUCAGGCCCACAAUUAUCAAUAUCAAUCCUACGGUGGCACGUAGUUUUGGGGGAAAUACUACAUUUACCACUUGGUGCUAAAUAAUACUCCUAGACACAAGCUCAGAGCGUGUUAGGAAAUCCACCACAAACAUCACAAGGGUCUAUCAUAAAGACCAAAUGAAAUCUCUUUGUCAUUUAUCAAAUCAUAAUCAAUUUGUGGAUUCCUAACUCUACUCAAAUCAAAUCAAUCUUUCUCAAUAUUAAAAUGAAUCAAUUCAUUAUGUCAUGGAAACAUCAAUAACUUUGAGGAAAUAUCAAGACUCAUUGUAACAAGUCAAUUCUCAUGAAUCAAUAUACUCAAUAAUCCAAUUGUUCAUAAGGAAGGUUAAAGCUUGACACAUAGCUUGAAAGCACUAGAAAUACCAACUCAUGGACGAAACUUGAAAUUCAUAAUAUUAAAUAUCAAGUCAUAACUUGGAAAUUGUAAAAUAAUCAUGUAUAACAAAUCUUGAACGAUUUAUAUUCUCAUAAUCUCAUGAUGAAUUAAUCUGGGUAUAAACCCACUUGCAAAAUCAUAUAAAUCCAUAAUAAAAUCAAAGCUUUGAGCAAAAGAACGAAAUAAUUGCUCUUGUUCAGAACCCCGCAUACCUUAAUCUUUGAAAUUGGUUGAAAUAUAGAGCUUGAGACUUUACUCACACUUGUAAUUAAAAAAUUUCUUGAAGCCCACUCUAUGAGGAACUUGAUUCUUGAAGGAAUCUUGAAGAUUUAUGGAUGAUGUUUGGAGGAUUAAUUUCCUUAAAUAAAACCCUAGAUAUAUUUCUUAAGAGAAUUGGAAGAGAGAAAUGAAGAAAUCAGGUUUUGGAUGAGGAUUCUCACAUAUAUAGAGGCCUCCAAAAAGGGAAAAGGACUAAAAUACCCUUGCAAAAAUCGUCCAUCAAUUGCUGAAAAAAAUAGCUGAUGACAUCCAUGAUAAGCUGUUAGGCCUAUCAUAGGCCAUCACGAAUUGUCGUCACAAAAAGGGUGGACUUUGUGAGGUGACGACAUUUUGUGACGGGCCGUCAGGCUUGUGACAAGUCGUCACAAAAGGUCAUCACGGAUUUUUCAGUAUGACACGCUGGAGUAAAAUAAGCAUAACUCUUUGCUCCGAUAUCGGAUUUUAAUGAAAUGGGUAUAGUUGGAAAGAUAAUUCAAUUAUAUAUAUUUUGGUAGGUCAUGAGAUCAAUAAUUCCUAGUACAAUGGGAGAUAUUCUCAUUUAAAGUUGACUAUGUGAAAAUCCUUCUCAAGAAUUCAAUCGGUAAAGAAUGUUUUGAUUCGCCCAAGCGUUAGGGCAUCUUUAAAGCCUUAAUAAACAUCACCCUUGGCCAGGAAACAACCAAAAAACUAUAAUUUAUUUCUCAUGGGAUUGUGUCAUGGUGGCACUAUUGGUUAGAAUCUCGGGGUAUUACAAUCCCUCCCCCUUGGAAACAUUCGUCCUCGAAUGUUGCUAGAUCGGCCAAGAACAAGUGAAAUAUGAGGAUUUAUAGCUGGAACAACUCACUCAAAAGACUUACUUCACUCUAUACCUUCGAAUAGUACAGAAAAUACACGAAUCCUUGAUGAAAGUAGACACACUGCUGAAUCUUUAAUAAGAAGGAGGCGGAAUUAAGAAAGAAUGAUACCUUCUGCUCGCUCCGAACUCACAGAAAAGAGUCGAGGGUACUUGGCUCGUAUAUCAGCUUUGUCUUCCCAAGUAGCACUCUCAACAUAUUGAUUUUUCCAAAGCAUUUUUACCGAAGGAACUUCUUUAUUCCUUAGCCUACGGAUCUACAAAUCCAAAAUCUCAACCAGAAUCUCCUCGAAUGAAAGGCUAUCCUGAAGUAAAAUAAGUAUAAUUCCUUGAACCGAUAUUGGAUUUUGACGAAAUGGGUAUCGUUGGAAAUUUAAUUCAAUUAUCUAUCUUUUGGUAGGUCAUGAUCUCAAUAAUUCAUGGUACAACAGGAGAUAUGCUCAUUUGAAGUUGACUAUGCCAAAAUCCGUCUCAAGAAUUCAAUCGGUAAAGAAUGUUUUGAUUCGCCCAAGCGUUAGGAAAUUUUUAAAGCCUUAAUACACAUAAACCUUGACCAUAAAACACCAAAAAACUAUAAUUUAUUUCUCAUGGGCUUGAGUCAUGGUGGCACUGUUGGUUAGAAGCUCGGGGUAUUACAUUAUUACUUUUAAUUAUCUUUGCUACUUACCUUUCUGCAAAUAUAAUGCAAAUUUAUCUUAUAAUGUUAUAAUUGAAUUAAAAAAAUAUUUGAGAUCAACCACAUAUUUUUGAUAGUAAAUGAUGUAUUAUAUUUCUAUUAACAUAGUGAAUUACUUAUGUAGGACUUAAUUACCUGCAUAACUCAAUGCUAAAAUAAUAUAUAGAUAAUCCCUAAAUUAAGUAAAUCUGCAUAACUCUAAUUGAGGCCCUUUCAUUAUUUACUUUUGUCUUCUAGGUUUAAGUGGGUAAAUAGAUGAAAAGAAAAAGAAAAGACUCUCACAUCUAGUUUCCCCAGAAGCACCUCUUUGGAAGAAGCGUGUUGUUGAAGCAACUCAUUUUCAGAUUAAAGCAGUCUUUUGUUUUGUUCCUCCUUAGAAACAAAAGCAUGAGCCGGGGCAACCAUUUUCUUUUCUCACAGGAAAUGAAGAACAAGAAGAACACUACAAUUUAAAAGCAAGCUUUAAAUUUCAAAAACAAAAUAGAAAUCAUGAGAGCAAAAGGGGAAAAAAAUGCAAAAAGACCUCACCAGUAGUAGGCUACAAAGGAUGAGAGAGAGAGAGAGGAAGGAGGGUUAUGUUAAAAAUGAAAUGAAUACAGUGGAAGCAGAGCACAUCUAUCAAAUAUUCUUUAAAAACACACCAGCUACAUCACCGACGUUUCAAAAUCAAGGCAACUUUUUAUCCUGUUCAGAAAAAAAUUUCAAAGUGUGAGUUGGACUGAGGUUGUCUUAACUACGUAAAUUGGUUUUCCCUCUUAAAAUAUUCAUUUUUAUAUUCCUUUUAAUUGAACACAAUUUUAAGAGGGCUAACUAAUUUACGCAGUUAAGACAACCUCAAUCCAACUCUCACAUUUUGAAUUUUUUUUCUGAAUAGGACAAAAAGUUGCCUUGAUUUUGAAACAUCGGUGAUAUAGCUGGUGUUUUUAAAGAAAUAAUAUAGAUGUGCUCUGCCUCUACUGUAUUCGUUCCAUUUUUCAUAAAACCCUCCUUCCCCUCUCUCUCAUCCUUUGUAUCCUAGUACUGGUGAGGUCUUUUUGCACUUUGUUUUUCCCUUUUUGCUCUCAUGAUUUCUUAUUUUGUUUAUGAGAUUUAAAGCAUGGCUUUAAAAUUACAGUGUUCUUCUUGUUCUUCAUCUACUGUAAGAAAAGGAAAUGGCUGCCCCGGCUCAUGCUUUUGUUUCUAAGGAGGAACAAAAUAAAAGAUUGUUCGAAUCUGAAAAUGAGUUGCUUCAAUAGCACCCUUCUUCUAAAAAGUUGCUUCUAGGGAAACUAGAUGUGAGAGCCUUUUCUUUUCUCUUUCCAUUUGUUUAUCUACUUAAACCUGAGAAGCCAAAAGUAAAUAAAAAAGGGGCCUCAAUUAGAGUCAUGCAAGUUUUUGUACUGUAGGGAUUAUCGAUGUGGAAAUCUAUAUAUUAUUUAUGCAUGUAUUAACGUAUUGCUUGGUAGUUGAUUUAGCAUUGAGUUAUGCAGGUAAUUAAGUCCUCCAUAGUUAAUAUUCAAAUAUUAGUAGUUGGUUUAGCCUACGUUUACUCCUAUUAACAUAGAAUAGCCCUCGAAACCCCAAAAAAGGCCCAUAAAAACCCAUCUACCAAAUAGAUGGCUCUGUAGCCUUUCUCAACUAGUUUGAUGGCCUGCUUUUAGGGCCCAAAUAUGGAUGAACAUAGUUAUGCUAUUCAAGAAAAUUAUAGUAGUACUAUUGGGACUUUGCAUUAAAAGGGAAAAAUAAGUUGUCUAGUAAAGUGAGAAUCCUUCAAGUUUUUAAAAUUAGGUGGGAGGGACAAAAGUUUUUUGAAUAUUUAUUUUUAGUUUUUUGUUCCAACAACUUCUCCCAGUUGUCAAAAAACUUUGAUAGUUGUUUGAAAACUUCUAGCAGUUGUUCAACAACUAUCAAAGUUGUUCGAUAACUGCGGUAAGUUGUUCAACAACUAGGCGAAGUUAUUCGGCAACUGGGAGAAGUUCAACAACUAUGUGAAGUCGUUGAGACAACUAAUGUAGUUGUCGAACAACACCAGUUGUUCAAAUGACUUAAUCUUUUUAAAAGGGACAAGUUGUGGGACCCACUUUUUCCCUUUUCUUACUUCGAAACGUGGGAGGUCUAUUGAUUCAUUUUUCACACUUAAGUAUUUAAGUUGUAUAUAUCAUGAACUAGUUAGCUUAUAUUUGGGUUGUAAAUUGUAAUAUUAAGUGUAGAGAUAGUCCUAUAUACAUUUAGUACGUCAAAGAAAGCUACUCGAAAACAUUGUGCAAUUCAAUUUGUCGCAAGAAGCACUUAAUCAUCACGCAAAUACUUAUUGGUUCCGAAUAUUUAACCCUAAUCAAUGAUUUUAAUACUAAUGAAUUAAGAAUAUCAGAUCAUUCAAUCAUGAUAACAAAAAUAAUUUAUAAAAGAUAUUAUCUUGUAAUAGUGGGUAUAAGGAGAGGUAGAUGUAGGCUGAGGAGGUCUUGGUAAAGGUGAUUAAAUUAGGUACGUGUAGCUUUUCGAGGAUAUGAUCUAGAUAUAAAAAUGCGGAGAUCAAGGAUGUGGUUAGUGGGUGGAUGAGCGCUGUCUAAUUUCUCUAUUAAGUAGUCAUUUUUUUAUUACUUUCAUACUAUCUUAUUCUUCUAUAUUAGAAUAAUUUGUUUGCUUUUAGUUCAGUUAUCAUAUUAAUUGUUUGUCGGUUCUACCAUUUUCAGAUUUACUUUUUUAUUUGUCUUACAUGCCUAAUUUUGUUUUAUAUGUUUUACUUGAGUUGAGAGUUGAGAGUCAAUCGAGAACAACCUCUCUAUCUUCACAAGGCAGAAGUACAUGUCCAUACUACCUCUCCAAACUCCAUGUGUAAUAUUAUGAAUGUUAUUAUUGUAUAUAUCUUGAAUUGAUUGAUCAAAUGUAAAUACCCGAUGUUGCGGUAUACUUAUACCCAUGGGCAUAGGGAUGGUCUCAGAAAAAGGGUGAUUUGAUGCACAUCUUUUAUCAAAUUAUUAUAGUGUACAAAAGCUUAAUAUUAGCUAUAAUACAUCUAUAUUAAAUUUAGUACAUACUUAACACAACUAAAAAGAAAAUAUGCACACUCCUCGUCAAAUUUCUGACAACGACACUGCUACUUCCUCAACUAUGAACGUGUUAAGAUGACGCCAUAUAGCAUUUGUCAUCUGCAUGACGCCCAAACUCUUUUAUCACUGGACCUACCCAACCUGUCACCUCAUUUUCUGCUUUUAUAAUUGCAUAUCCUUCCAAAUUUCAUACACCAUCCAUUUCAUUUUAAUUAGAUUAAAAAUAACUAUUUUAAUUUAUUUGUGUAAUUUAUAAAAUUAUAAUAAAGAUUAUUACGUGAAGUAUUAAAUGAAGUGAAAGGUGUAUUCUACGAAUAUAUAAAGGCUAGUUUCAUUCAAUCCGUAUUCCGUACUAAGCUCGGAUCCAAACAACUCUAUAUAUAAAUAAUAAUAAUUAAAUUUUAAAAUAUAAUGUAUAUUAUAUUUUUUACUUUAUAAUUAAUAUAGUUUAAUGACCGAUAUGUUAAAUAUAUUUUAUUAAAAUUUUUAUAAUUAUUAAAGUUCUUAAUCACAUAAUUGGAUAAGUUUUUUAAAAAAUUAUUUGUAUGGAAGAAAGUAAUACAGGAGAAUUAGAAUAUAAAAUAACAUGAUACAACAACAACAAUAACAACAUACCCAGUGGAUUCCCACAUAGAGGGGUCUGGGGAGGGUAGAGUGUACGCAGAUCAUACCACUACCUAAGAUGAAGUAAAGAGUCUUUUUCCGACAGACCCUCGGCUUAGGACCGAUAGCAGUAUAAUAAACACAAAACAUAAAUGUAUAAAAACUAGUACAGUCUGCAAACUAAACUAACGUCACUAGCUAUAAGAUAAUAGUUAUACUACAGUCACAAGAUAAUACUAAAACUAUCUAUCCGAAAUCAUACACAUCACUCAACACCACAAACAAGAAACUUCGAGCACAAAUAAAGAAUGCUCCCCUAUUAUUACCGACACACUUUCAACCCCUAACCCUCUACUCUAAUCGGCAUUCUCCAUACCUUCCUCAUCACAUCCCUCCAAUAUUUGUUCAGUCUACCUCUACCCUACCUAAAAUCAUCCAUAGCCAGUGUCUCACACCUCCGCACUAGAGCAUCAGAGCCCCUCUUCAUCACAUGUUGUCACCAACGUAACCUUACUUCUCGUAUCUUGUCCUCCACCGAGGCCACUCCUACCUCUCCCAAAUAAUCUCAUUUCUUACCUUAUCUUUCCUAGUAUGGCCAUACAUCCAUCGUAAUAGUCUCAUCUCCGCUACCUUCAACUUAUGGAUGUGGGAGUUCUUAACUGGCCAAUACUCUCCAUACAAUAUAGUCGGCCUAACUACCAGUCUGUAGAACUUCCCUUUAAGCUUUGGGGGCAUCUUAUUAUCUUAUAAAACUCCCAAAGCGAGCCUUCAUUCAAACCAUCCAAUCCCAAUAUUAUGUGUGACAUCCACGUCAAUCUCACCAUUGCCUUAAAUCAUAGACCCCAGAUACUUGAAACUCUCCUUCUUCUGAAUGGCCUGAGAGUCUAGCUUCACAACCAUGUUAGCAUUCUAUGACACAUCACUAAACAUACACUUCAAGUACUCUGCCUUGGUCGUGCUUAACCGAAAUCCUUUAGACUCAAGGGUCUGUCUCAAAAUCUCCAACUUAUCAUUAACUCCUCCCCGAGUCUUGUUAAGAAGUACCACAUUAUCAGCAAAUAACAUACACCAAGGCACCUCAUCUUGAAUAUGUCUUGUCAAAACAUUCAUCACCAAGGCAAAUAAAAAAGGGCUAAGAGUCAAACCCUGAUACAACCCUACCAAAAUCAAAAAAUGCUUUGAAUCUUCACCUACCGUCCUCACCCGAGUCUUUGCGCCAUCAUACAUUUCCUAAAUCAACCAAGUGUAUGCAACAGGCACCUCUCUAGCCUCGAAACACCUCCAGAGAAUCUCCUUGGGAACUCUGUCAUAAGCCUUCUCAAGAUCAAUAAAUACCAUGUGAAAGUCCUUCUUCAUCUCCCAAAACUGUUCCACUAAUCUCCUCAUAAGGUGAACGGCCUCAGUAUUCGAGCGACCUAGCAUGAAAUCAAACUGAUUCUCAGCGGUAAUCACGCUCCUUCUCAGCCUUAACUCUACCACCCUUUCCCAAAUCUUCAUAGUAUGACUCAACAACUUAAUACCUCUAUAGUUGUUGCAACUUUGGAUGUCUCCCUUGUUCUUUUACAAUGGAAUAAUUGUACUCCACCUCCAUGCUUCAGGCAUCCUUCCCACCCUAAAAAUGAUGUUAAGAACCUUGUCAACCACUCCAAACUUGCCCUGCUAGUGCAUUCCAAAAAUCCACUGAAACCUCAUCUGGCCCCAUCGUCCUACAUCAACGCAUCGUGUGAAUAGCCCUCUUAACCUUCUUAACCUCGAUAGGCCUACAAUAACCAUAGUCGUGACACUCCUCAAAUUUCUCCAAGUCCCCAAACACGAAACCUUGGUCCCCCUUAUCAUUCAAAAGUUUAUGAAAAUAGGACUGCCACCUUUUUUUAAUGAGGGCAUCCUCAACCAACAUAGUACCAUCCUCAACCUUGAUGCACUUAUCCCUGCCUUUCUUCUUUAAAACCGCAUACAAGCUCUAAAAAGAUGUCAUUUUAGCCACUGUAACCGCUAACUUAGCCUCUCACCUAGCUAUCGCUUGUACUCUUCCUUAUUCAUCCGCCUCUCUUGAUCAUUCUUGCUCUCAACCAAUUUAGCAUAAGCCACCUUCUUAGACUCCACCUUUCUCAUAUAUAUUCAUUCCACCACUAUUCCCCUCGAUGUUUUCCAAAUUGGCCUCUCAAGAAACUAACACCUCUCUAGCGAUCACCAUAACUUAUAUCCAUCCAUAUCUCUCACCUUAGUGCCUACCAUUUAGUUUCCUGGACACACGUUAUACUAACCCUCCAUUUUCCAAGAAUCUUCAUCAGCUCUAUAGUCUUAGCUUGAAGCGUCUCUAUGUUCCAGGAUUCAACUUUCAACCUAUAAUCACCCUUAUCCAACUUAGCCGUACUAUCCCCCGCCCUCAACCCAAGACUAAAACCUAGACUCGACCCCAACCCCAACUUCAAUCAAUGACAUGACCCUAGUCCAUCAUAUAUCACCCCAACCACCACUCAAAAGGAUACAAUAGAAGAAAAUAAAGAAAAAAGCUGAAAAACAUGAUGAGCAAAAGAGUAUGACUAAAAACAGCUAAAUCAGCAAACAAAAACUGGUAAGCAGGAUUGAUACUCAAAAGCAACAACAAGUACUAUUCUACUCACUAGCAACAAACACCUACUAAGUUACAGAGAAACCGUAACCAAUAAUCCCAGAGGAAUACUUAAAAAAUCAAAUAAAAAAUCAGGAUAGAAAAGAGACAAGAAGCAUAUACCAAAUAAACUAGAGAAGACUGAAAUGAGUGCACCUAAUACAGGGAGAAGACACAGUGAAAGGAGUUUUCCUAAUCGUUUUGUCGAAUUCCAGCAAAUUGGUGCAGAAAUUGGUCGUCAGAAUUUGUUGCGAUCACCUUUACCCUACUGCUGGUACCGCAUCCCUGUACUUGGAGGCUAGAGAAUGUGCUAGUCGCGAAAAAAAUGAGCAAGACACCGGAAUCUUGAUGUCACCGCCUGAAGUAUAGAUCUGAACUUGAAGUACCUGAAAAGGGUUAUAAAGAAAAUAAAAGAGAAGAAAAGAAAAGUGACGAUCAAAUUGCCAAAAAUUGACGUCACUCACUAAAAACUGAUGCGUUUGUUGGGCCACAGAGAUAGGCCACUAAAAAAGUCGCUAUCAUUUUAAUGGUCGGCGUAAGAAGUGAGAGAGAAAAAGACGACGAUUAUGCUAGAAUCUGAUGGGGUCGGCGAAACUGAUAGGGUCGUCGGGACGUGUUUAUGGUGGCCGACACAAGUAAUUUACCGGCGGCAGAUUAGUAGUUCUUUGCUAUCGCCAGAAUCUUCAAGACACGAAGAGAUAGGUUAAUUUCUUCGUUGCCAUCGAUUGAAAAAUUGCAAGAUGCUAAACCCUCAGCAUAUAUGACAACUACUAAUGUCAUCAAUUUAACUUGAAACGCCCGUUCAAUAAAAUAACAUGUCAAUAUUUUAAUAAUUACAGAUCCAUUCCGAUUAAAAAUAGAAAAAUAUUGAUUUUAAUGAAUUUAUGGGUACAAAAUUUCUCAGUUAUAAAUAGAAAUAAAUUUAUUUUAAUAUUUAUUAUUUUAUUUUCAAAGACUUGACUUUACCUUAAUAUUAUGAAGUAAUUUCACUACUAAAAUAUUCAAGAAACUCUUUUCUAGUCUAGAAAUACUCCCUCCGUUUCACAAUAAGUGAAUUAUUGAAGCAAUUUUAGUGUUUCAAAAUAAGUGAAUGAUUCACAAUUCAAGGUAGAUGUUUGAAUUUUUUCCAAAUUUACCCUCCAUUAAAUGUGCACUAGGACUGAUGUAUCAUGUUUCAUUGCUUUUUGAAGAGGGUAAAAAUGAAAAAAUAUGAUAAAUUUAUGUCUUUGCUUUUUUUUUUCUUAACAUGUGUGCCGAAAUUCAACAAUUAACUUAUUUUGGAACGGAGGGAGUACUAUAUUUUUUUUAAGAAGUGAACAUCAGUGACUAUAAGGGUGUAGUUGAAAAUUAUUACUAGCUUUAAUUUUAUGUGAAAAUUUAUUUCUAAAAAAGUUUUUUGAGCCAAAAUAAUUAUUAAUUUAAAAUGAAGGAAAUUUUAAUAAAAAGACAACCUGUGGCAAGAAAAAAUCAGUUACAAAUACACAAGAGGAAAUGGUCUUAACAAAAAGAAUAAGGACAAAAAUAAAAAUAUUUAGCAAUAGAACAUCAUCAAUCCUUGUGAGGACUACCGAAAAUUGAGAUCCUCCCUUAUAUAUAAUAGUAAAUUGUAUUCUUUUUUCAUAUGGUUAACACUGUUUGCAAUAAAGAUUACAAUGACAGAAACAAAUUGCAAUCACAAUGCAUAUAAAAUAUGAAAAAAUAAGAAUUUUAUUGAUAAAUGAUAUGGAUAUAAUUCUGUUACUCCCUUGAUUCUUCUUUCUUUAUUUUUCUCCGUAAUUCGAGGAUCAUUAGUAGCGUACUUCUUGAAUGUAGAAAGAUUUAAAUUUGAUAUGAAUUUUUAUCGUAUUUCUCGAAUGUAAAAAGAUUUGAAUUUGAUAUGAUAUUUUUUGUAAUUCAAGGGUCGUUAGUAGCAUAUUUCUUGAAUGUAAGAAGAUUUAGAUUUGAUAUGGAUUUUCUUUGUAAUUCAAAGGCCGUUAAUAACAUAUUUCUUGAACAUAGAAAUGUUUGAAUUUGUUCUCCAUAAAAGAAGUGUUUAUGGAUCUUCUUGAUAUAUUUGAUUAUAAAAAAGAGAGUGAUAUUCAAUGAGUUUAUGAAAUUAUUGGGAGAUGAUUAAUCUCUUUAUUAAGGGUUUAGAGUAGAGUAGCCACCAAGUUAGGUUUGGCGUAAAGUAACCCCUAAUAACUCUAACAAAAUUGAAUUCUUAUUAUAGAGUUCACAAAAUUAUGAUGUCUAUAAACGCUUUGUAUUGUCAGACGUUAUGACUACAAAAUCCUUUGCUAAAAUGUCAAAAUACAAUUAUUUUUAUUCUUUGAGAUGAUGAAUGAAGUACGUGUUAAUUUAGUAGAGUCACUUAGCUCAAGUCAUUCAUGCGGCGAACCAUGAAAUCAGAAAACUACAUCAAGCUAGAAGAAGAGAAAAGCAAUAACAAAAAUACCAUAUUUAGCACAUUUUCAUAGCUUGAACUCGUGACCCCCUGAUCACAUGGAGGGAACUAUCCACAAUAAUUCAAAAAAAUACUUCUCAUAGAUAAUCACAAAAUCUCAAGCAAGACUAAAUCUUUUAAGAAUUUUACUACACACAAAGACAAAAACAAAGGGCAGUCCGGUGCACUAAGCUCCCGUUAUGUGCUGAGUCCAGGAAAAAAUUGGACCACAAAGGUCUAUUAUACACAGUCUUUCCACUGUGGACCCCUCUUUCCGUAGCUCGGACCUAUGAUCUUCUGGUCACACGACAAUAACUUUACCAGUUACGACAAGACUCCUUAUCUUACACACAAAAAUAACAUUUUUAAAAAUGAAAUCUUUAGCAAUUUUUUAAAAUUCUUUCUACCCAAAUUUCCAAGAUAAGCUAAAAUAUAACACUGAUAACAUAUGGUUAAAUAAACAAUAAGAAAAAAAUGCAAACUACCCAAAAAAAUUCAGGCAAAUAAAACUUGUAAUACAUCAAGAUUAAUUUUGAACAAUAGCUUAAAAAAAAUCUCACUUUCUCACAACUGAAUAAUUAAAUUCCAACUUUGCCUUAACAUUAUGUCUCCAUUGAUGAUGGAUACUGUAGCAUUAAGAGCGUUACUAAAUAAUGAAAUAUGACAUUCUUUUUGGGACGGACAAAAAGAAAAUGACGACAUAUAUAAUAGGGCAGAGGAAGUAUGUUAAUACUAAAAGGGUAGCUUCAUGUGGCGGUGGAUGUAUGUUAAUACUAAAAAGGCAGCUCGGUGUACUAAAACUUCUUGCUAUAAGGGACUGCAGAGAAGGGCUGGACUGCAAGAAUUUUAUUGUGCACAACAUUAUCUUGCAUUUCUGACAGAGGCUGUUUCUAUGACUUGAACUCGUGACUUCCCAAUCACAUGACAAUAAUUUUAUCAGUUACUCUAAAACUCCCCUUCAUAUUUUUUUUUUGAUUUGAUAAAAAUAUUAAAGAUACGUAAAAUAUAAAAGAUACACAUAUAAUUCUUUCUGCAAACCCACUUAUAUGGAGUAAUAAAAACUUAUAAGGUAUCAAAAAUGAUAUAUGCAUGGGAUUUCCCUUUUGGUUAAAGUUUUAACAGGUUAAUUUCGUGUAUAAUUGUAGACUUUUACUCAUUAAUGACAAAAUUAUUGAACUUUACCUCUUUAAUAAAGUAGUAGAUUUAAUGGCAUUGAAAAUCAUUAAUGAGUUUUUAUUAUGUGUUUAUAUAUAUUGAGUACAAGAAGUGAUAGACAUAUCUAAAACUAAAUCAAUCAAUUAGAAAAACAAUUUCUAUUCCAAUGGAGAACUUCCUCCAUGUUCACCUUUUGAUUUCAAUUAUUUUCUCAAUUUUGCUUGUAAUUUUAUGCAAUGAACAUUCUUUUUCAUCCCUUAACACCAGUUACAUUGUGGAAUAUGUCUAUUGAUCCAACGAAGCUUUCCGAUCCUCCGAUGCCAUCCUAUACACUCACCAUUUACAAUCUCUAUUUAUUUGAAAAGUCAAAAUUCAAGGACUAUGACUCGUUUCUUAGAAAUAGGUUCGCCGGUUGUCAAGCUAGGGCAAAUCAUUUGGCAUCGGUUCUUGAAAAUGGUGACGCGAUUAGUACGAAUGGAACUCUGGUAAGGCCACACGAUGAGCAUGAGAGUAAAGUGGCCAACGAAAAGGUUCUGGUAACAACAAGUAUACAUUUCAUAUGUCAGUAUGUUGUAUCUUUUACUCUUUUUUUUUUGGUUUCCCAUCCGGCACCUGGUGCCCGCAUUGGAGCUUCGACUAAUCUGGAUACACGUUGCAAGGCCCAUUAAGGUGGCAGCGCUCCCAACAGAAUUUUCUCCUAAGGGUGGAGCAGCCUCAUCCACUACACCACAACCCAUAUUGGUGCAUCUUUUACUCACUGAACAAGUUAAAAGUUACUUGCUAAUAGACACUGGUAGUGAUUUAGUUUGGUGGAAAUGUGGACCAUGUAAUGCAAAUGGAUGUUACAAACAGAUAAAUAAUCCUUUAUAUGUUUCAACUAAUUCAAAAACAUAUCGAAAGCUCGAUUGCCUUGUAGAAAGUAGAAACUGUGAAAUCACGAAUAAGGAAUAUGAUUAUAGUCCGUAUAGUAAUACGUGUAUGUAUAAUUACAAAUAUGUCAAUGGAUCAAGAACAAGAGGCUGGAUUGCACACGACGUGAUUACUUUUGUUUUAGGCCGAAAGCAGGUAAGCAUUGUUUUUCGAUGUGGCAAAGAUGAAACUCAUGGAAAGCCUUUUAGUGGUCAAUUUUCUAGAGAUGCUAUCCCCGGACGUAAUGGGUGGUGGAAAUCAUUUAGCAUCGCAAUUUAAAGCUGACAUAAUGUCCAUGUUCCUACCGGGAGCUAUCUCCACAAAAGGAUCAACACUUGGCUUCCACACAAUGCCAUUUAAGAAAACAACAUCAGCAACGCUAUUACAUGAUUUCAGAUUCCUUUCCGUUUACUUCGUCAUCCUUUAUAAAGUUUUCAUUAAUGAUAGGGAAGUCCCGAUGUUCCCAUCAUUGUCUAGGAAUUCUAGAAAUUAUGCCACAAGCGGUAGCUGCAUCGUGGACACAGGAACAUUUAUUUCCCGUUUUCCUCAUGAUUUUUAUAUUGUAUAUUACACAUUCAGAUAACAAUUAUGUGGUAUUCCUAUGGUUAAUGUUCCACCUGGAUCAGUUUAUGACACUUGCUAUAAAGUGGAUACAACUGGUCUGGAUCCACAUUUCCCCAUUGUGACCAACCAAAUGGCCUCUCCGACACUAACAACCCAAACUCCCCUUUGCCUCAGCCUGCCUGGGAGCACUUGGUCCAUUUUCUACCCAAAACAUACAUGGUCAUUGGGGCCACCCCCAGAACUGUGAUCUAUAUAGCACACUGAUUUAGCCCAAGAAUGGCCUAUUUGCGUCGUUUCAUUUGUUUGACCACCCAAAUAGCCCAACCGACCCCAACGACCCGCACUAUCCCACUUUUAAGCCUGCCUUGGUGCCUCUGGUCGAUUUUUAGACUAAAAAAGCUCAAGCCCUAAGCCAACCCCUAAAACCGUGAGUUAUAGCACGUCUAUUUUGCCAACAAAAUUGCAUAUUUUUGACAUUUUGCCUGUUUGACCACCCAAAUGGCCCCACCGACCCAAACGACCCACUUUUCCAUUCAUCAGUCUACUUGGAAGCUUUAAUCUAGUUUUGACCCAAAACACGCCUAAACCCCAGGUCCACCCAGAACUGUGAGCUAUAGCACACCAAUUAUCACUGAAAAUGACCCAUUCGCGUUGAUAUUCUAGUUUGACCACCCAAACAGCCCCGUUGACCCCUACGACCAAUACUUUUCCGCUCUUCAGCCUACCUGAGAGCCCCCAAUUGACUUUUAACCUAAAAUAUGCCUAGGACCACCCCAAAAUCAUGAGCUAUAGCUCACUAAUUUGGCCCAAAAAUGGCCCGUUUAUACCGUUUUGCUCAUUUGACCAACUGAACGAUCCCGCUGAACUCAAUGACCCACAAUGCCCCGCUCCUCGGCCUGCUUGGGAGCCCUCAAUCGAUUGUUGACCUAAAAAACAUUUGGUCUCUGGGCCAACCCCCAGAAUUGUGUGCUAUAACACACCGACUUGGCUUGAAAAUGGCCCAUUCGUAUCAUUUUGCCUGUUUAAUAACCCAAAUGGCCCUGCCGACCCCAACGGCCCACACUUCCCGCUUUUUAGCCAACCUGGGACCCGCGAUCAAUUUUUAGUCAAAAACAUGUGUGGGCCUUGGGCACACCCUCUGAACCUUAAGGUAUAGCACCCCAAUUUUGCCAAAAAAUAGCCCAUUCAUACCAUUUCAUCCGCUUGAUCACACAAACGGCCCUUCGCCACCCAACAACCCUCACUCUUCCACUUAUUAGCCUGCCUAGGAUCCUCUGGUUUAUUUUCAGCCUAAAACACGCCUACGCCCUGGGGCCACUUUCGGAAUCGUCAGCUAUAACACACCGAUUUGGCCUAAAAAUAGUUGGUUCAUGCCAUUUCACCCGUUUGACUACGCAAACGGACCCACUAACCCCAACGACCUAUACUCCCCCGCUCUUCAGCCUGCUUGGGAGCCUCCGAUCAAUUUUUAGACUAAAACACACCUGAGCCCCGGUCCCACCUCUAGAACCAUGAGUUAUAGCGUAAUUAUUUGGCCUGAAAAUAGGAUGUUCACACCGUAUCACCCGUUUGACCACCCAAAUAACCUCAAGGAAUUUUUGGACAAAACAUGGUAGGAGCUCGGGUGGGACUCUCAGAAUCGUGAGCUAUAUCACAUCGAUUUAUCCCAAAAAUGGCCCGUUCAUGUUGUUUCACCUAUUUGACCACCUAAACAGCCCCACCGACCCCAACAGCCCAUACUUCCUCACUUAUAAGCUUUCCUGGGAGCCCCUGAUCGAUUUUUAGCCCAAAUACGCCCAUUCUCCAAGCACACCCCAGAACUGUGAGCUAUAGCACAUCAAUUAGGCUCAAAAAAUGGCCCGUUGGCAUAGUUUUGGUUGUUUGAUCACCAAAACAACCCCGUCGACCCGAACAACCCUGACUCCCUCGCUCCUCAACCCACCGAGGUGCCCCUGAUUGAUAUUUGGCCCAAAAAAUAUGACCAAACACUGGCACACUCCUAGAAUUGUGAGGUACAGCAUACCAAUUUAGCCCAAAAAUGGUCCGUUUAUCCCGAUUCACCCUUUUGACCCCCCCAAAUAGCCCCAUCAACCCCAACCACCCACACUCUCCCGCUCCUCAGCCUGCCCAAAAGCCCUCGAUCAAUUUUUGACCCAAACCACGCUCGGUCCCUUCACUCACCUUUGAAAUCGUGGGCUAUAUCACAUUGAUUUUGCUCCGAAUUAGUCCGUUCGCGCCUUUUUGCCUGUUUGACCAACCAAAUAGCCCUACCGAUCACUGUCUACCCCAAUGACCCAUACACCCCUGUUCCACAGCAUGCCUGGGAGCCUCCAGUUAAUUUUCAGCCUAAAACAUGCCUGGGCGCUGGUCUCACCUACAAAACCGUAAGCUAUAGAACACCAAUUUGACAAGAAAAUGGUUUGUUCGUGCUGUUUCACUCGUUUUACCACUUAAAUGGCCCCGCCAACCCAAACAACCCACACUUUCUCGCUCCUCAGCCUGCCUAGGACCCCUGGUAAAUUUUUUGCCCAAACCAUGCCCGAGCCCUAGGCUCACUCCCAAAAUUAUGAUCUAUAACACAUCGGUUUGGCCUAAAAAUGCUUUAUUCGUGCCAUUCAGCCCGUUUGAUCACUCAAACAGCCCCGUUGAACCCAAUGACCCAUAUUUUCUCACUCCUCUUGCUGUCUGGGAGCCCUCGACCAAUUUUUAACCUAAAAUAGGCUCGAUCCCCAAGCCCACCCUCAAAACCGUGAGCUAUAGCUCACCUACAAUUUUGUUCGUUUGACUAACGAAACGGUACCGCUGACCUUAACGACCCACAAUUCCCCGCUCUUCGGCCUGCUUAGGAGCCCUCAAUCGAUUUUUGACCCAAAACACAUUUAGGCUCUGAGCCAAUCCCCAAAAUUGUGAGCUAUAACACACCUAUUUGGCCCGAAAAUAACCCAUUCAUAUCAUUUUCCUUGUUUAAUAACCCAAACGGCCCCACCGGCCCCAAUAGCCCAUACUCUCCACUUUUUAGCCAACCUAGGAGCCACGAUCAAUUUUCAGUCAAAAAAUGCACGUGGGCCUUGGGCACAGCCUCUGAACCAUGAGGUAUAGCACCCUAAUUUUGCCAAAAAAUAUCUUAUUUGCACCGUUUCAUCCGUUUGAUCACACAAACGGCCCAUCUCCACCAAACGGCCAACACUAUUCCUCUUAUUAGCUUGCCUAGGAUCCUCUGGUGUAUUUUCAGCCUAAAACGCAGCUACACCCUUGGCCCACACCCAAAAUCGUAAACUAUAACACAUCGAUUUGUCCUAAAAAUGGUUUGUUCAUGCCAUUUCACCCGUUUGACCACCCAAACGGCCCCACUGGCCCCAACGACCUAUACUCCCCUGCUCCUUGGCGUUCGUGGGAGCCUCCGUUCAAUUUUUAGACUAAAACACACCUCAGCCCCGGGCCCACCCCCAGAACAAUGAGUUAUAGCACAAUGAUUUGGCCUGAAAAUAGCACGUUCAUGCCGUAUCGCCCUUUUGACCACCCAAAUGGCCUCAGGGAAUUUUUAGACAAAACAUGGUUGGGACUCAGGUGGGACCCUCAGAACCGUGACCUAUCACAUCGAUUUGGCCUAAGAAUGGCCCAUUCAUGUUGUUCGCCUGUUUGACCACCUAAACAGCCCCACUGACCCCAAUAACCCACACUCUCUCAUUUAUCAGCCUGCCUGGGAGCCCCCGAUAGAUUUUUGACCCAAACACGCCCAGUCCCCGAGCACACCCUAGAACCGUGAGCUAUAGCACACCGAUUAGACCCAAAAAAUGACCUGUUGGCGCAGUUUUACUUGUUUGAUCAUCCAAAUGGCCCCGUCGACCCAAACAACCCUUACUCCCUUGCUCUUAAACCCACCUGGGUGCCCCUGAUUGAUAUUUGGCCUAAAACAUAUGACCAAACCCUGGGCCACUUUCGAAACUGUGAGGUAUAGCAUAAUAACUUAGCCAAAAAAUGGCCCGUUUAUGUCAAUUCACCCUUUUGACCCCCCAAGCAUCCCCGUCGACCCCAACCACCCAUACUCUCUCGCUCCUCAGCCUGCUCGAGAGCCACCAAUCGAUUUUUGACCCAAACCACGCUUUGUCCCUUGACUCACCUUCGAGAUCGUGGGCUAUAUCACAAAAAUUUUGCUCAAAUAUGGUCCGUUUGCACCCUUUUGCCUGUUUGACAAACCAAAUAGCACUACCGACCACCGCCGACCCCAACGACCUACACACCCCUGUUCCAUAACAUUCUUGGGAGCCUCCGAUCAAUUUUCAGCAUAAUACAUGCUUGGGCGCUAGGCUCAUCUCCGAAACCAUGAGCUAUAGCACACCAACUUGGCCAGAAAAUGGUUCAUUCGUGCCGUUUCACUUAUUUUACCACUCAAAUAUCCCCACCAACUCCAACGACCCAUAAUUCCCCACUCCUCAGCCUACCUAGGACCCUUGGUUAAUUUUUUCCCAAAACACGCCCGAGCCCUAGGCCCACUCCCAAAACUAUGAGCUAUAACACACCAAUUUGGCCUAAAAAUGUUUCAUUCGUGCCAUUCAGCCCGUUUGACCACUCAAACAGCCUCGUCAAACCCAAUGGCCCAUAUUUUCCUGCUCCUCUUCUUGUCUGGGAACCCCCGACCAAUUUUUGACCAAAAAUAGGCUCAAGCCCCAAGCCCAUCCUCAAUACCAUGAGCUAUAACUCACUGAUUUAGCCAGAAAGUUACCCAUUCGUGCCGUUUCUCCUGUUUGACCACCCAAACAAUGCUAUCGACCCCAAUAGCCCUCUCAUCCUGUCUGGGAGACGUCGCUUGAUUUUUGAUCCAAAAUACGUAUGUGCCAUAGGCCCACCCGAAGAAUCGUGAGCUAUAACACAUUGAUUUGGCUUGAAAAUAGUCUAUUCACAUCAUUUAGCCCAUUUGACCACCCAAACGGCCCCGCCGACAACAACAACCCACUCACCCCUGCUUUUUAGCCUUUUUGGGAGCCCUCAAUUGAUUUUUAGUCCAAAAUAUUUUUGAGUCCCGACUCCACCCCCAAAAUCGUGAGCAAUAACACACCGAUUUGGCCCAAAAAUGGUCUAUUUUCAUUGUUUCAUCUCCUUUGACCACCCAAAUGGUUCCAUCGACCCAAAAGGACCAUACUCCCUCGCUUUUCAUCCUGGCUAGGAGCCCCUAGUCCUUUUUCAGGCCAAAACACAUUGGGACCCUGGUCCUACCUCCAAAACCAUGAUUUAUAGCACAUCGAUGCACUAGGAUUUCGUUAUAUGUUCGGUCCCGCUCAUGUUUCUUCGGUCCACCUCUACCCCACCUAAAACCAUCCAUAACCAGUAUUUCACAUAGCCGGCCGGACGACCACUCUGUAGAACUUAUCUUUAGUAUUCGAGUGCCUCUUCUAAUCACAUAGAACUCUCGAAGCGAGACUUCAUUUCAACCACCCUGCCCCAAUAUGAUGCGUUACAUCCUCGUUAAUCUCAGCAUUGCCCGGAAUGAACCUGACUCUGAUACCAUAUUGAAGUGAGUGACCAUCUCAUCUAAGAGUUUAACUAUUAGAGAGAGUACACUUUUACUAUUUAAUUAUAUUCUCAACAGUUACUUAAUAUGCUAUUUUUGCAUUGAUCAAAUGAACUUUACGUGGCAUUCUAAACUAAAGGAAGACACAAAAUUUUUCUUUCAAACAGUUCAAGAAAGAAUCUUUUGUCCUUUUGAAAAAGAGAAAUAAAGUCACAUUUGUUGGCUUGUUUUGUCCCUACAGUUGAACUAAGAGAACUUUGAGUUGAGGUUUUUUCUAUUAUUAAGGAUGUCCAAUUUUGGAAAAGUACUACUCCUUUCGUUUAAAAAGGAAUGGUAGACCAAACAACAUAUUAAUUUUAUAUAUUAUAUUAACUCCUAACUAGCUACCAAACCUGGAAUUACUUAUGUAGGAUUCCUACAUAACUCGUUGCUAAGCUAGCUACCAAAUGACCUCUUAAUACCUUCUUUCUUUGUUCAUUGAGGAGACAAAGACCAAUGUAAGCAUAAUUUAAUUUAUGUGUAUAAUAUGUUCAGAACCAAGGUGCAGAAUAAAUACUUUACAUAAAUACAAAACUUCCUAAAUGAGUUGAACCAACUGAUAUAAACGGUUUGAUUCACUCAGCUCCUGAUUCAUCAAUUGAUGACCACAGUAUUUUUUCAUGAGAUCUGGCAGGUAGUUUUUUUUUAUAACCUGAUUUUUUAUAACAAAAAAAAAAGUACCACUAAUGACUCUGCAACAACAAAAUCUUUUGAAGAAUCCAAUGAAAGUUGAGAGACUCUCUUCUCAGCUAUAGCUUUUGGUGAAUCUCUUGUUGAAAUUGAUUAAAAUUAUUUACUAUCAUUUCGACCGGUUUUGUCAUUUUUCUCAUUUUUAGUUCUUUUUAUAAAAUUCAUUAUUGGAUCUUUCNNNNNNNNNNNNNNNNNNNNNNNNNNNNNNNNNNNNNNNNNNNNNNNNNNNNNNNNNNNNNNNNNNNNNNNNNNNNNNNNNNNNNNNNNNNNNNNNNNNNNNNNNNNNNNNNNNNNNNNNNNNNNNNNNNNNNNNNNNNNNNNNNNNNNNNNNNNNNNNNNNNNNNNNNNNNNNNNNNNNNNNNNNNNNNNNNNNNNNNNNNNNNNNNNNNNNNNNNNNNNNNNNNNNNNNNNNNNNNNNNNNNNNNNNNNNNNNNNNNNNNNNNNNNNNNNNNNNNNNNNNNNNNNNNNNNNNNNNNNNNNNNNNNNNNNNNNNNNNNNNNNNNNNNNGGGUUUAAAAUCCUUAAGUUUUUUCAAGGUGUUUGUGCUUUUAUCAUGUAUUGUUACUUGAAAAAUUAUGUUAUUUUGGCGUUGAACUAAUGAACUCUACGUGGACUAAUAAACUGAAGAAUGACACAAAAGUUUUGUUUCAAAUAGUUCAAGAAAGAAUGUUUUGUCUUUUUGAAACAAGGAAAUAGAGCCACAUUUCUUCCACUGAUUUGUCCACUCAUAGUGCUCUUGGUUUUCCCGCCUUCCACAAAAAACCUUGCAAUAGAGAUUUCCAAUUCAUCCUAGACAAUCUCAACACUAAGUUGGCUGGAUGGAAAACUAAAUUCCUCAAUAUAGCUGGCAGAAUCACCCUUACCAAGUCCUCCCUUGCUAGUAUUUCUGCUCAUGUCAUGUAAUUCAUUUUGAUCCCCACAAAAAUCCACUAAUUGAUUGACAGAACCCAAAAGUACUUUUUCUGGGGCACCACCCCUGAUAAUAAGAAAAUGUAUCUAAUCAAUUGGGAAACCUUGACUAAUGCUAAAGCUAAUUGGGGCCUGGGCUUCCAGAAAGCUUCCAUUAGGAACACCACUAUGUUAUCCAGUCUAGCUUGGAGACUUUAAAAGCAUCCCAACAGUAUCUUGGCAAAAAUUCUGUAAAAUAAAGUAGCCCCCAUGGCAUAUUCAUCAAAGCCAACAACUUUAGAACUUGGAAAAGUUUCUUUGUGGGUUGGGAAAUUUGUAAAACUGCCUCCUCUUUGAAUAUCCAUAAUGAUGACAAGAUCAACUUCUGGAAGGACAGAUGGAUGCCUCACUGUGAACUCCUUCUUUCUGUCAUCCAAGAUCUUCUUCCUUAUUAUUCCCAAGACAUUAAACACUCUGAGGUCUAGAGAAAUGGCUUCUGUAACCUCAAGGAUCUUCCGAUUGAAAUCCCUAAGGAUGUCAUCCAAACUUUAACCAACUUUAUUUUCCCAAAUCCCAGAGCCCAUACUGAUGAGCUCAUUUGGAAUCUCACUGGUAAUUGUCUGUUCUCCAGCAGAAGUGCUUAUAAUCAUAUUGCCAAAACCUCUGAGAUCAAUUACUCCUCUAAUUUCAACUGGAUAUAGAAGGCUAAAUCCCUUAAAAAUUUAAAACAUUUAUUUGUUUAAGCCAGCAUAAUAGUUUCCCCAAUAACCUUAACCUCUCCAAGAGAGGAGUGAGACAAAAUACUAGUUAUGCUAUCUGCAAUCAUCACCAGGAAGAAAAAUCCCACAUUUACUUUAAGUGUCCUAUCCUCAACGAUUUGGGAGUGCAAACUAUCCACAAGAUGACCCAGUCCAAAAACCUCCUAUUUCCAGUCUCCUACCCUCUUACUAGCACAAUAUCUGGAGAUCUCUUCAACACUCCCAAUUCAACAGACUAAUCCACUGGCAUGACAUCAUUCCUUUUAACCUCUAGACACUCUGGGACACCAGGAACUCUAAUACCUUCAAGAAAAAAAGGGACCAUCCCAAUUUUAACCAUGCUUACUCCCAAACUAUUUAGUAUAAACAUCUUACUCAAAAGAAUACCCCAAUCAAGCAAAACCAAAUCAUCAACAUUAAGUGGAAUCCUCCCACCUGCCAUACCUUCAAGCUCAAUACUGAUAAUUCUUGCCUUAGAAACCUCGGGAAGGGUGGAAUAGGAGGGGUAGUCAGAUCCAGUAAUGGAGGCUGAGUGUUAGGCUUUAACAUAAACUUUCACCGGACUACCAAAAACAUGGUAGAGCAAAAUAAUCUUCUCCCCACUAAAAUUAACUUUGAUUCCUUGGAAGUGAUAUCUAUGUUAAAAAACGGGAACCUCCACUAUGAUACUUUAAUUUUGGAAUGCAGGUCAAAAUUAAAAAGAAUAAGGAAUUCGAAAGUCAAGUACUGUUAUAGAGAACAAAAUGGAGUGGCGGAUGCUCUAGAAAAAUACAGAGCAAGGGCAAGCGGGUUUUAGGAGACUACCCUUUUUGAAGUUCCACCGAUAUGUGCAAAAGAUGCAGUUUUAGCAGACAUCUCAAAAACUUUUUGAGAGAACAAUUAGGAUGAUUUUAAUUGGCCAGGCCAGAACUAUUCCUUUUUGAACCCUGACUAAUCGUCAAAAAUUGAAACUUAAACUGUAUUCUCUUUUAUAUUAAUGCAUGUCCUUUCUACCAAAAAAUAAUAACAUUAUUUCGCAUAUUGAAUCACCAAAAAGAAGAGAUAUUUAUACCAAUUUAAAUUGAUGGACCUUGAACAUUCACAAAGAAAGAUAAGUUGAAAAUGUUAUAUCAUUCUUGCAUAUCGAAAGAAUGUUAUCAAAUCAAGAAUAAUUUUUUUAAAUGAAAAAUUAAAAAAUGCAGUAAAUAAAUUCACGAAUAGCACGAAUGAUAGAGAAGUAUAUGUAAGAAAGGCUAAGUAAUAGAAUUUCAUUUAUAUUCAGAUUUCAUUUAAAUACAAAUUCAAAUAUCACAUAUGUUUAUUAAAAUAAGAUUAAUUUAUUAUUCUUCCUUAUCCUUAUCCUUACAUUUUUCAAAUACAAUAUAUAUUUAAAAUUAAUAUAGAUUUGAGUUGAGAUAAGUAUUGAAAUCAACGAGACAAUACUAAUACUAAUACUAAUACUAAUACUAAUACUAAUACUAAUAGUAAUACUAAUAUUAAUACUAAUAAAAAUAAUAACAUUUUAACUAUUUUUAUUUUACCACUAUUAGAUUGUACUCCUAUUACUAUUACUAUUACUAUUAUUAUUUGUUCAUUGUUAUUUGAGAUAAAUAUUAAGAUAAAUCGUGUAGCAAAAAAAAAAAAUUGUGUGCCAUGAUUAUUAAUUUAGUACAUCUAAAUUAUAAGUUUAUCUUUGAAAGUAUGUUUUAUCUCCAAUUUAAAUUCAAAAAAAUUUGAUAGAAUAUCCAAUAUCUUAGAUGAGCGGUUAAAACCUUCAAUACAGGUCAGGCUCGUUGGGAUGGCCCGGCCCAGCCUGUAAUUUGAUAGGGUUGGGCUAUAAUUUUUAUAGCCCAUUUAAGAAUAGGGCUUUUUAGCCCUUCAUGAAUAAGUCUAUUGACCCGUCGGCUUGAGCCAUAUGGGUUUGCGUGACCCGUGGGUCAAAUAAAAAAUAAAAAAAUAAAAUAUAGUACUAAUAAUAAAAAAAUGAGUCCAAACUCAAAGUUUAUAUGAACCAUCAUAUAUAGAUUUUAAUAUUAAUUAUAUUUAAAUAAUAUAUAAAUAAUUUACAUAUAAAAUAUAAGUUUUUUAAGAAAUCAAAUAUGUUUGAUGAAGAUGACGUGGCGAUGUUGAAUACACCAUAAAUGCCAUGAGAGUUUUCUUUAAAGUGUUUAUUUUACUUUUAAUGGACUAAACAUUGACAUUUCUUUGUGUUUUAUUUUGAUCAAUUAAAACAAAAUUAGGUUAAUAUUGUUAUUUAGCGAGUUAUAUUAUUACUCAUUAAUUAUUUUAUUUAUUUUUCAAUAUCUNNNNNNNNNNNNNNNNNNNNNNNNAUCUUUUUGUAAAUUUGAGACUUGAUUAAUGAGUAGUAACUUCAAGCAAUAUUAUAUUGUAAAUAUUUAUGCAAUUAAUAUUUUAAAAUUUAAAUUAAGAUUAUAAAAAUAAUAUAUUUUAAAAAAUGGGCUGGCCCGUGGAGGCCCACAACCCAUAGUGUGACGGGUUGGGCUUGCUAUUUUCUAGUCUGUCAAGUUGAUGGGUUAGCCUGACCAAGCCCGUCAAACUCUAAAGCCUGUGUGAGCUAGCUCGGAUGAGCUGGUCUGAUCCAUAUUAACAACUUUAGGAGCAGUUAUAUAACAAUAAGAAUCUAAUUAGAACUAUUUAGUAUUAUAAUUAUCUACUUAUAAUAUGUAAUUUUAUAUUUUUUUAAUAUUAUUUUAAAUUUAAAGUCAACAAUUUAUUUGUAACACCCCAAGAUCCCAUCCCGAGACGUCACACGGUGCUUAAGGCCACACGCGGCCUCAAGCUAACCCUCUAAAACUGUCAUCACUUCUAGAACUCACUUUGACAAUAGUCGUGCUAAUAUAAGAGAGAAUGACAUAUCAUAAACAUACUGGAAUAAGAUAAGAAACUAGUCUGUACAAUCCAAAAUAUUGAAAUUCUGUACAUACCGAUCCUUUAGUCUGACAAAGCCUCUAUACAUCAAAAUCAAGGAGACAUUGGGACAAACCCCCAACUGAAUCAAGGAGAUAUUGGGACAAACCCCCAACUGACUCAAACAGUACUGAAAGCCAUAACAACAAAAUUGUAUCACAAAAUUAUAAACACGAUCCUCGAACCAUGAGGACUCACCCCUGAGCAGAUGAAAAGAGGCACCCAAAAAUCGCUAACGUGGCUGAGUACCUAAACCUAUAUUAUAAGAAAAUAUAGCCCUUAUAAAAAUAUAUGGGUCAGCACUUUGGAAUGUACUGAGUAUGUGGGGGGCAUGCAACAAUGUAAAUAUCGUCAUCAAUUUCAUGAAAUUAUGCAUAUGUACAAUGAUGGCUCACUUGGAUUGAGUUAGAUUGAAACAUAUUUUUUAUAAUCUCAUCGUAAAUAAAUCAUAUGAUAAAAACCUUAUAAAUCAUCAUAAANNNNNNNNNNNNNNNNNNNNNNNNNNNNNNNNNNNNNNNNNNNNNNNNNNNNNNNNNNNNNNNNNNNNNNNNNNNNNNNNNNNNNNNNNNNNNNNNNNNNNNNNNNNNNNNNNNNNNNNNNNNNNNNNNNNNNNNNNNNNNNNNNNNNNNNNNNNNNNNNNNNNNNNNNNNNNNNNNNNNNNNNNNNNNNNNNNNNNNNNNNNNNNNNNNNNNNNNNNNNNNNNNNNNNNNNNNNNNNNNNNNNNNNNNNNNNNNNNNNNNNNNNNNNNNNNNNNNNNNNNNNNNNNNNNNNNNNNNNNNNNNNNNNNNNNNNNNNNNNNNCAAAUCAAAUCUCUUUCUCAUUUAUCAAAUCAUAAUUAUUUUGAGGAUUCCUAACUCGACUCAAAUCAAAUCAAUCUUUCUCAAUAGCAAAAUGCAUCAAUUCAUUAAAUCAUGGCAACAUCAAUAACUUUGAGGAAAUAUCAAGACUCAUUGUAACAACUCAAUUCUCAUGAAUCAAUAUACUCAAUAAUCCAAUUUUUCAUAAGAAAUAUUAAAGCUUGACACAUAUCUUUAAAGCACUUGAAAUACCAACUCAUGGUAGAAACUUUAAAUUCACAAUAUUAAAUAUCAAGUCAUAAGUUGGAAAUUGUAAAAUAAUCAUGUAUAACAAAGCCUGAACGAUUUAUAUUCUCCUAAUCUCAUGAUGAAGUAAUUUGGAUAUAAACCCACUUGCAAAAUCAUAUAAAUUCAUAAUAAAAAUCAAAGCUUUGAGCACAAGAGCGAAAGAAUUUCUCUUGUUCAAAACCCCACGUACCUCAAUCUUUGAAAUUGGUUGAACUCUAGUGCUUGAUACUUUACUCACACUUGUAAUAAAAAAAAUUCUUGAAGCCCACUCUAUGAGAAACUUGAUUCUUGAAGGAAUCUUGAAGAUUUAUGGAUGAUUUUUGGAAGAUUAAUUCCCUAAAAUAAAACCCUAGAUAUAUUUCUAAAGAGAAUUGGAAGAGAGAAAUGAAGAAAUUAGGUUUUGGAUGAGGAUUCUCAUAUAUAUAUAUAGACGCCUCCAAAAAUGGGAAAUGACUAAAAUACCCUUGCAAAAAUCGUCCAUCAAUUGCUGAAAAAAAUAGUUAAUGACAUCUGUGAUAAGCUGUCAGGCCCAUGAUAGGCCAUCACGAAUUGUCGUCACAAAAAGGGUGGAUUUUGUGACUUUCUGCCUUAAGGUGAUGACAUUUUGUGAUGGGCCGUCAGGCUUGUGACAAGUCAUCACAAAAGGUCGUCACAGAUUUUCCAGGCUGUCACGUUGGAGUAAAAUAAGCAUAACUCUUUUGCUCCAAUAUCGGAUUUUAAUGAAAUGGGUACCGUUGGAAAGAUAAUUCAAUUAUAUAUCUUUUGGUAGGUGAUGAGAUAAAUGAUUCAUAGUACAACGGGAGAUAUGCUCAUUUAAAGUUAACUAUGCCAAAAUCCUUCUCAAGAAUUCAAUGGGUAAAGAAUGUUUUGAUUCGCCCAAGCGUUAGGACAUCUUUAAAGACUUAAUACACAUCUCCCUUGACCAGGAAACAACCAAAACACUAUAAUGUAUUUCUCAUGGGCUUAAGUCAUGGCGGCACUAUUGGUUAGAAUCUCGGGGUAUUACAAUACCUCCCCCUUGGAAAUAUUCAUCCUCAAAUAUUGCCAGAUAGGCCAAGAACAAGAUAAAAAUGAGGACGUAUAGUUGGAACGACUUACUCGAAAGACUUAAUUCACUCUAUACCUUCGAAUACUAUAGAAAAUGCACAUAUUCGUGAUGAAAGCAGACACACUGCUGAAUCUUUAAUAAGAAGGGGGUGGAAUUAAGAAAGAAUGAUACCUUCUACUCGCUCAGAACUCACAGAUAAGAGGUGAGGGUACUUGGAUCGCAUAUCAUCUUUGUCUUCCUAAGUAGCACUAUCAACAGAUUGAUUUCGCCGAAGCACUUUAACCAAAGCAACUUCUUUGUUCCUUAGCCUAAGGAUCUGAAAAUCCAAAAUCUUAACUGGAAUCUCCUUGAAUGAAAGACUAUCCUGAAUAUCUAAGCUUUCAGAAGAAUCAACCAUGACAGAAUCACCAAUACACUUCUUAAGCAUAGAAACAUAAAAUACCGGAUGAACGCUAGACAACUCUGUGGGUAAAUCCACCUCAUAAGCUACUUUGCCAACAUGGCUCCGGACCUUGUAUGGACCAACAUAACGGGGACUAAGCUUUCCCUUCUUCCCAAAUCUCUUUACCCUUUUCAUGGGUGAAACCUUCAAGGACACCAAAUCAUUAACAUUAAACUCAAGAUCUUUUCUUCUCACAUCCGCAUACGACUUCUGAUGACUUUGAGCGGUUUUCAAUCUUUCUCAAAUCAACUUAACUUUUUCCGUAGACUCGAACACAUCAUCCAGCCCAAUCAUAGCUACUUCUCCUACUUUAAAUCAACCUAUGGGCGAUCUACAUUUUCUCCCAUACAACUAUUAUUAUACGCAAAUUCGAUCAAUGGAAAGUGCUCAUCCCAACUACCUUUGAAAUCAAGUGCACAUGCCCUCAACAUGUCCUCUAAAGUCUGAAUAGUUCUCUCAGCCGGACCAUCGGUCUGCGGAUGGAAAGCAGAACUUAGACAAACUUGGGUAUCGAGACCCUUCUAAAAAGCCCUCCAAAAUUGAGAAGUAAAAUGAGUACCCCUAUCAGAGAUGAUAGCUAAAGGAACUCCAUGAAAUCUUACUAACUCACGGAUAUACAAUCUAGAAUAAUCCUCAGCUAUAUAAGACAAAUGCACUGGCAAGAAAUGAGCUGAUUUAGUCAAUCGGUCUACGACAAUCCAAAUCAAAUCAUGAUGAUGAUAAGAAGGAGGCAAACUAAUUACAAAAUCCAUAUUCACUUCUUUCCAAUUCCAAUUAGGAAUUACAAACUCAUUAAUUACACCACCGAGCCUCUGGUGCUCUACCUUAACUUGUUGACAAGUAGAAUACUUUGUCACAAAUCCUGCUAUGUCUUUCUUCAUACCGUUCCACCAAUAUAUUUCCCGCAAAUUGCGGUACAUCUUGGUAGCACCAGGAUAAUAGAAUAUCGCACACCAUGCAAUUUGUUGACACCUAAUUUUUUCCCUCCACAACUAAAUUUAAUCCUGAGUUUCUUCGAUUCUUAAUAAAAUCGGAAUAUUUAUUUCAUUCGAAUAAAAAAUUUUCAAAAAUAUAUUUGUACGUAAUUUUGUCAUCUUAAGUAGAAAUUAUAUAUUAUCGUAUUCAAAUAUACGAUAUUAUAUGAGUUUAUUACUUAGAUAUUUACUCUAUGAAAUAUCAGAUUUCAAUUAAGGAUCAUUUCGAAAAAUAAUAAUUAAAAUCAUGAUCUAAAUAUAAUUUAUUCUCGAAAAUAUUUUGUUUGGAUAAAUAUGCAUUUUAUUUUAUUAAUUCAAGAAGCUCAGGAUUAAACAAGGUGUUAAUUCGUAUCAAAUUUUUAUUUAAUUUAGUCAAUUUAUUAAAUUAGAACUUAAUUGAAAUUAAUUUGACCAUAAUUGCAAUGUAAUUGGUUAAUUUAAUUUGAAUUAGGCUAAAAUUUAAAAAUGAUUGUCUAAAUUUUCAUCCAUUGGCUGUUUCAUAAAUAGUCUAAAUCUCUACAUUACUAAAAUCCUAAUUCUACCCAACAAUAUUCAGAUCCCUCCUGCCCAGUUCCUUUUCAUAUUAACAGGCCCAAAAUCCCUGACCUGGCCGACCAUCAUCAAAUCCCCCUUUCUACCUUAAUCAGCAAGAACUAGUCCCCAAUGCAAAAAACAACCAAAAAUAGAGUACAACUACAGGAACUUGAACAACAAUGACAAGCUCGAUUCAGUGAAUCCACCAUUGAACCAACUCGAAACCAAUCCUAAACUAUUCUUUUUCCCUCUGUCACGCGUCUCACGCGGCAGUAGGAUAAGAAAAACCCUCGAACCUUCUAGAAAAUGGGCUAGGUGUCAUCUCCAACAGUCCAAUCCCGCAAAUUUUGGGAUAACUCGUACGAACUCAUACAAUAUUUGGCUGAUUUCCAUAGGUUUUGGGGAAGAAUUCAUUUUCCCUAAAUCUCAUUGGUCCACCAAUUUCAAUAUUGGUACAAUUGAUUGAUGAAACCCUAAGCGGUGAGAGGAUUUUCAAAUUUCAAAAUUCAAAAAAUCCUUCUUUUAAAUCCCUAAAAGUAAUUCAGGGGAUAUAAAAAGACCCCUGGGGUCACUAUUUCGGGGAUUAUUGGUUUCUUCUCUCCUGUUCUUUCCCUUAGGAGUUGGAAAUUUUAGAAGCCUCUGUUUGUUUUGUUUAGAGAAAUUUUGGGUUCAAAAAAAGGGGGAAAUCCUUAGGUUGGAAAAUUUUAGGUCACGGUUGAGGGUUACUUUCCCUUCUGAGGUGGAAAAAUUAAGGGAGAAAGCUAGGUUGGAAUAUGUUUUUGAGAAAAAUUUCUAAAUCGAAAAAACUGAGAUAGAGGGAAGAAAGAAAAAGAAAAGAUUUCUGAAGAAAGAUUAAAUCUUUGAAGUUUUCCGGUGGUCAUGAUCCCCGUAUCAGUUCGUCGUCUUGUUUUGCUGCUCCGAAAAAGGUAACCUCCUAUUUUCAUUUAGUUUUCAUUAUAUUUCUUCUUCCUCUCGUCAUUCUAUAGUCAUAACUGUCAUUCUGAAGAUUUUGGAAGCUGGGUUGUCUGCUGUAGAGGUCUUCAUGACCAUAGGUUUCAAUUUUAGUAAAAGGCAAUGUUUCUUUGCAGUUCUACGUUGGGAUGAAUUCCUAUUAUGAUUGUAUGACAUGUGGUUUUCAUCAUCUUUAGAUCUUGAUUUCAUGAUUGGUCAUCUACUCUCAUUAUUACUGCUUAAUUUAUGUCCUAAUGUAUCAUCUUGUGGACUGUCUGUGAUUUGAAGCAGUUAAAGAUCAUAUUUUGAUUCUUGCUUAACAAUUUUCAUCCUCUUGUUGCCUUGAUUCGUAGUUGUAGUUUUAUAAUCUUACGUGUUGAGUGUAGCUCGUUAGGAGGCUAUGAAAGCCCCAAGUUUCAUAUGAUAAACUGUGAGCUUUCAAAAAUUGUUGUUGUUUCUGCAUUUAGGACAGAUUGAUUUUUAGAGUUUUUGAUUUCGUUAUAAUUCAUCUGGGAGCAUUUGCCUUUGUUCAUACAAUGUUUUUGAUGAAAAUUUUCUUUGAAUUCGACUUUCGUGAAUGCCAUAUUGUUUAAAUGAUGAGCUUCUAGCCUAAGGAUUAUUGCUAAAAUCCUGUUCUAAGAAAAUGAAGGGUUACUAAGUAACUUUAUUCCUGUAAACGAUUGAGUAAAAGUGUUGUGUUUCUUUUCAGUUAAAAAGGAUGAUAGGGUCAAAGGGUUUUGCAUUCUCUUUAGGAGUUGCUAUUAUGGGCCUCCUUUGUGACCUUUAUUUAUAUAGGUUAAAUAAAAAGAAGUCUAUUCUAUUUAUAGUAUAUUUUCUCAAUUCACCAGCUUUGAUCUGAGUUUAACACAUACACUUGUAGUUAUUAGUUGAAAAUUGUUUCAAAAAAAAAAAUUAGCUUUUCUUGCGUCGUUACUAACUCGUAUGAGCUUGUAUAUCUCCUUUAUGAAACUUUUAGGAUCCUGUUCAUUUGUCUAUUAAAUACAUCUCUUCCCUCAUCAUCUUAUUGAUGUUGGGCAAAGAAAAUGUUUUUAGUCGCAUUGCUUCUCCCCUAUUUCCUAUUUACUUCAGUACCUAAGGUUAAGAGUUUUGGAUCCGUUUGAAUAUCGAAUAGUUUCCAUGUUUUAUUUAAAGCCAUCCUUUAUUUUUCAUAUUAUCAUUUGCUAAAAAAAUUUUGAUAAGAUAAAAGUUGUUUGCGUGUAGUAUGUGUGGUGACAUGCCUAAUAAUGUGCUUACUCUAUGGGAACAUGUUGUUAUUUCUUCUCUAAAAGAUAGGUCUAGUAAAUUUGGGAGAAAUUCUAUUUUAGUUGCUUCCUGAUUCUUCCCAACUCUUUGUUGUUAUCUUGAGUUUUAGUAAUAGCCAUCUAUACCUAAAAGGGCUAGAGAACAUUAAUCACCAAA
rnacentral:lncRNA from 1 species